UAUCAGUCAGCUGAGGACUAUCUGAAAAUGAACUUUUGACCAAGAUAGGAUCACUAGUGACCGAGAUUUUCAAACUUUCCUUUGACAGAACAGCAGAUACUGUACUUUUUUGAGGGCUUCUAGAAGGAGACUGGACACUGCUGGGCUUCAAUAUGGAAGAUUUCUCUCUAUCAUCAAUUAGAUUUCUCUGCUGCAAAACUGCUACUUUCUUGUUAGUUGCUUGCUGCUCACACGAAGGAAGUGCAGUAGCCUGACACUCAUAUCCUGUUGCCUCACAGCUUACAGAUGUAUCACUUAGCUGACCAUCAUCUGAAACAACAUCCGACGUCUGACCAAGUGUUUCACUAGCCCAAUCAGCUGCCUUACAAGUUGACCUGCUUCGUUCAUUUCUCCCUCUGCUAGGUAAUUUCUGGUUUUUCUGGAUCAAAGGAAAACCUCUGUGGGUUCCAUUAAUAACUACUGAAACAAUUGAGUCAGUGGAACACGUUGAUGAACUAUCAUCCAUCAUGGAAGGACUUAUCCUUCCUGCUAUCACAUUCUGCGAAGCUGGAAGGCCAAUUAACCUGCUAGAACCAGCUUCCACAGAUGGAUGCACCUCUGAGG
rnacentral:misc_RNA from 1 species